rnacentral:misc_RNA from 1 species
CUUGAGCGUCCGGAAAUUCGAAUUUGUUGACCGGCCCCGAAAUUCUCUCUCCACCGGACAAAUGGCUGAAAAGAUUAGAAUUCCUGGGCCAGCUACUUCCUUUGAGUACAUGCUUUUUGAUGGAGAUCCUGACCACCUUAGAACAGUUGUUGCUACGCCUACCCAAAUUUCACCAUGGAUUGAAGCAGCUGAAUUGAAACUAAAGCACAGGAUUGGACGUGGCAUCUAUGGUGAUGUUUGGUUGGCAACACAUCAUCAGUCAGCUGAUGAUUUUGAGGAGUAUCAUGAAGUGGCUGUUAAGAUAUUGCAUCCCUUGAAGGGGGACCUCACACAAAUGUUUGUGGACAAAUUUGAAAGGAUAUUUUUGAGGUGUCGAGAAAUGCAAGGUGUUGGUUGGUUGCAUGGUGUCUCAGUUAUGAAUGGACAGAUCUGUAUUGCAAUGAAAUUUUAUGAAGGAUCAGUUGCUGAUCGGAUAGCUUGGUUGAAAGGGGGCAAGCUUCAACUGUCAGAUAUUUUGAGGUACGGCAUAGAUUUGGCGAAAGGGAUCCAAGAGUUGCACUCAAUUGGGUUGCUAGUACUGAACCUUAAGCCUUCUAACUUCCUACUUAAUGAUCAUGAUCAAGUGGUUCUUGGAGAUUUUGGUAUACCUUAUCUACUACAUGGCAUACCAUUGUUGAAUUCAGAGAUGGCUUUAAGACUUGGAACAGCAAACUAUAUGGCCCCAGAACAGUGGGAUCCAGAAGUACGAGGUCCUAUGUCUUUUGAGACAGAUUCAUGGGGGUUGGGGUGUAGCAUAGUGGAGAUGUUGACUGGUGUCCAGCCAUGGUUUGGGAAAUCAAUUGAAGAAAUAUAUCAAUCAGUUGUGAUCAAGCAGGAAAAACCACAGAUUCCAAGUGGCCUUCCGCCUGCUGUGGAUAAUGUUAUCAAGGGAUGUUUUGAGUAUGAUCUCCGGAACCGGCCUUUAAUGGAAGAUAUUUUAUAUGCAUUUCAGAGCUCACAGAAUGCAGUUUACAGUGAUGGAGGAUGGGUUGGUCUCGAAAGCAGAACCCUUGCUGAAAAAUCAAGUGUUGGUGGCUAUACUGCAUGGUAUCUCUCGAAAGGUCAUCUCCAAGUGGGUGAUGCAGUUCGUUCAAGAAAACCACUGAAUGCGUGCAAACCUCAAAACAUGGAUGUCUCUAGCGGAACUGUGGUUGAUUUAGAUAGCGACACUGAUAGAAAUGGUUUUGUGCUGGUUAAAAUUGCUGGAAUUCGCAACCCUCUCAGGGUACAAGAGUCAACACUUGAGAGGGUCACAUCUGGCUUUGCAAUGGGAGACUGGGUGCGUCUGAAGGAAGAACAUGGCAGGCAUUCUCCUGUGGGAAUUAUACACUCUAUAGAUCGUGAGGGAGGAGGUGUGACAGUUGGGUUUGUAGGCUUAGGGACUCUCUGGAUGGGAAGUGCUUCUGAGCUUCAAAUAGCUAAAGUUUAUUGUGUAGGGCAGUUUGUGAGGCUGAAGGCUAAUGUGGUUACUCCACGGUUUGAGUGGCCUCGUAAAAGAGGAGGACGAUGGGCAACCGGAAGGAUUUCACAAAUCCUCCCAAAUGGGUGUCUUUUUGUUGGCUUCCCAGGGAGGCUUGUGUUUGGAGAUGAAUCCAAUAGCUUCCUAGCAGAUCCAGCUGAAGUGGAACUAGUUUCUUUUGAUACUUGUCCUGGAGUGGUGGAAAAAUAUCAGCAUGUUGAGGAUUUUCACUGGGUUGUAAGGCCCCUUGCAACUGGCGGUGGAANAUUGCAUUAGGUGUAUUUACUGCCGUGAAGCUUACAAUUUCUGUCGGAAGAAAAGUAAGCACAAAACUGAGAAUGGGCCAAAGAUCAGGCAAUGGCCAUUAUCAGGAUGGCUCAGCUGGUAAUAAUGCAGCUUGGUUUCCACCGCCAGUUGCAAAUAUUCUUUUCAAAGAAGGUGUUCCUACUGCCACUGUUAGGUAAUCCAUCACCUCAUAUCCAGACAUGAGUAAGUUUCCUAGAAUCUAAAAUCGUUCAGAGGCUGUUAACUAGAAUAACUGCCAAAGGUCAAGAACAUCAUUGGUUUUAACUCAAUGCAAUUGUACCAGACAGACUGUAAAUAUGUAAAUUCAGAUGUUCUCAUGCUCUCUGUAAAUCCACGUACAGGAUAUUUAUUAAAUGUAUGCAUUGGCUCCCACUGUUGUAUAAUUUUGAACUUUGGCAGUUAUUCUAGUUAACAGCCUC